UACGAAGGCAGCAGUGGGGAAUAUUGCACAAUGGGCGCAAGCCUGAUGCAGCCAUGCCGCGUGUAUGAAGAAGGCCUUCGGGUUGUAAAGUACUUUCAGUCGUGAGGAAGGUGUUAAGGUUAAUAACCUUAGCAAUUGACGUUAGCGACAGAAGAAGCACCGGCUAACUCCGUGCCAGCAGCCGCGGUAAUACGGAGGGUGCGAGCGUUAAUCGGAAUUACUGGGCGUAAAGGGCACGCAGGCGGUUAAUUAAGUUGGAUGUGAAAUCCCCGGGCUUAACCUGGGAAUGGCAUUCAAGACUGGUUAGCUAGAGUCUUGUAGAGGGGGUAGAAUUCCAUGUGUAGCGGUGAAAUGUGUAGAGAUGUGGAGGAAUACCGGUGGCGAAGGCGGCCCCUGGACAAAGACUGACGCUCAUGUGCGAAAGCGUGGGGAGCAAACAGGGAUUAGAUACC
rnacentral:rRNA from 1 species